rnacentral:lncRNA from 1 species
AACAAUGUUUGGUUUAUUGUUAUGAUAUGCAAUACUUGGAUCUAGUUUCUUUGUAAAAAUAUCUGAGGGCAUUCUUUCUUUUUUUCUUUUAAUGUAGAGGCUCAGCUAGGACCUUUUGGAAGAAGAAAAGUGAGAAGAGCUAAAACUAUACUCAUUUGGUGGGUGCUCUUUUGAUCUUCCACUUGAAAGGGGAUCUGCCUAUUGGGUUUAGAAGGGAGUGCAAUCUAUUCAUCAGGGUCAUCGAAGAAUGGUGCCCCAUAAUGCCCAUGUAUAACACAUAACGAUAUGGUGGUAACGAUAUUGUGGUUGCUUUUGUUUAUAUGACAACUAGUAGCAAUUUGGUAAAUGAAAUUGCAAACAUGGUUGUGAGAUGGUGAGUUAUUUGGAAGUAGAUGAUGAGCUUCGUUAGUUCUCUAUCCUUAACUUGUGGCAUUGAAUUUGUCGGAAGUUUUUGGUAAACUAAUGUUUAUCUGAAUAUUGUAAGAAUCCUGCCGCGCAAAGCAAGCCAUAGUUCUCCAAGUUUUGAUAGGGGUCUGGUCUCCCAGAUAAUCAAUUCAGACUUGGACUUAUUUUUGGAUUAUCUUUUUUCACAUUUUAGGUCAAGACUUAGACUUGAGACUUAUUUUUUCCUAUCAGGAGAUGAGUCUGUCUCUGGAGGGAGAGGAGAGGAGACCCGCGAGGGUGAAGGAGGCUCCCCAAGCCAUUCAAGCGGGAACGGCCUCUUCAACCUUGAUCUUGGCGAUGAAGAUUUUGUCUCCAAUGUGGAAGUACCCAUGAAGUGGGGAAUGCCCGAAGUAGAGGAGACAUAGCAUUCAGAGUCAACAUUUACAUGAAUCACAGCCGCCUGCUUGGUCAUCAUUGAUGCCGGGAACAAAAUCAUUCCGAGUGAGAUGAUGGCCUUGAGAAGAGUAGACUUGUGUCGGUAUUUUAGAGAUGCAUUAGGAGCUAGGAAGCUCUGAA